rnacentral:rRNA from 1 species
GAUGAACGCUGGCGGCGUGCCUAAUACAUGCAAGUCGAACGAGGUGCUUUUGUAGCAAUACGAGAGUAUCCUAGUGGCGAACGGGUGAGUAACGCGUUGGUGACCUACCCCAAAGUGUGGGAUAACAGUCCGAAAGGACUGCUAAUACCGCAUGUGGUUAUUGGAUCUAGAAACCGGUAACUAAAGGAGCAAUUCGCUUUGGGAGGGACCUGCGUCCCAUCAGCUAGUUGGUGAGGUAAUGGCUCACCAAGGCGACGACGGGUAGGGGACCUGAGAGGGUGGCCCCCCACAAUGGAACUGAAACACGGUCCAUACACCUACGGGUGGCAGCAGUAGGGAAUAUUGCACAAUGGGCGAAAGCCUGAUGCAGCAACGCCGCGUGUGUGAUGAAGGCCUUCGGGUCGUAAAGCACUUUUCUGGGAGAUGAGAAAGGACAGUAUCCCAGGAAUAAGUCUCGGCUAACUACGUGCCAGCAGCCGCCGUAAUAC